rnacentral:rRNA from 1 species
UACAGAGGGGGCAAGCGUUGUUCGGAAUUACUGGGCGUAAAGGGCGCGUAGGCGGCCCGCUAAGUCGAACGUGAAAUCCCCGAGCUCAACUCGGGAACGGCGUCCGAUACUGGCGGGCUUGAAUCCGGGAGAGGGAUGCGGAAUUCCAGGUGUAGCGGUGAAAUGCGUAGAUAUCUGGAGGAACACCGGUGGCGAAGGCGGCAUCCUGGACCGGCAUUGACGCUGAGGCGCGAAAGCUAGGGGAGCAAACGGG